AGCGAACGCUGGCGGCAAGCUUAACACAUGCAAGUCGAGCGGGCCCUUCGGGGUCAGCGGCAGACGGGUGAGUAACACGUGGGAACGUACCCUUUGGUUCGGAAUAACGCUGGGAAACUAGCGCUAAUACCGGAUACGCCCUUUUGGGGAAAGGCUUGCUGCCGAAGGAUCGGCCCGCGUCUGAUUAGCUAGUUGGUGGGGUAAUGGCCUACCAAGGCGACGAUCAGUAGCUGGUCUGAGAGGAUGAUCAGCCACACUGGGACUGAGACACGGCCCAGACUCCUACGGGAGGCAGCAGUGGGGAAUAUUGGACAAUGGGCGCAAGCCUGAUCCAGCCAUGCCGCGUGAGUGAUGAAGGCCUUAGGGUUGUAAAGCUCUUUUGUCCGGGACGAUAAUGACGGUACCGGAAGAAUAAGCCCCGGCUAACUUCGUG
rnacentral:rRNA from 1 species